rnacentral:rRNA from 1 species
GACGAACGCUGGCGGCGUGCUUAACACAUGCAAGUCGAACGGAAAGGCCCUGCUUUUGUGGGGUGCUCGAGUGGCGAACGGGUGAGUAACCCGUGAGUAACCUGCCCUUGACUUUGGGAUAACUUCAGGAAACUGGGGCUAAUACCGGAUAGGAGCUCCUGCUGCAUGGUGGGGGUUGGAAAGUUUCGGCGGUUGGGGAUGGACUCGCGGCUUAUCAGCUUGUUGGUGGGGUAGUGGCUUACCAAGGCUUUGACGGGUAGCCGGCCUGAGAGGGUGACCGGCCACAUUGGGACUGAGAUACGGCCCAGACUCCUACGGGAGGCAGCAGUGGGGAAUAUUGCACAAUGGGCGGAAGCCUGAUGCAGCAACCCCGCGUGCGGGAUGACGGCCUUCGGGUUGUAAACCGCUUUCGCCUGUGACGAAGCGGGAGUGACGGUAAUGGGUAAAGAAGCACCGGCUAACUACGUG